rnacentral:rRNA from 1 species
UCAAACAGGAUUAGAUACCCUGGUAGUCCACACGGUAAACGAUGAAUACUCGCUGUUUGCGAUAUACAGCAAGCGGCCAAGCGAAAGCGUUAAGUAUUCCACCUGGGGAGUACGCCGGCAACGGUGAAACUCAAAGGAAUUGACGGGGGCCCGCACAAGCGGAGGAACAUGUGGUUUAAUUCGAUGAUACGCGAGGAACCUUACCCGGGCUUAAAUUGCAGAUGAAUUACGGUGAAAGCCGUAAGCCGCAAGGCAUCUGUGAAGGUGCUGCAUGGUUGUCGUCAGCUCGUGCCGUGAGGUGUCGGCUUAAGUGCCAUAACGAGCGCAACCCUUGUUGUCAGUUACUAACAGGUUCCGCUGAGGACUCUGACAAGACUGCCAUCGUAAGAUGUGAGGAAGGUGGGGAUGACGUCAAAUCAGCACGGCCCUUACGUCCGGGGCUACACACGUGUUACAAUGGGGGGUACAGAGGGCCGCUACCACGCGAGUGGAUGCCAAUCCCAAAAACCUCUCUCAGUUCGGACUGGAGUCUGCAACCCGACUCCACGAAGCUGGAUUCGCUAGUAAUCGCGCAUCAGCCACGGCGCGGUGAAUACGUUCCCGGGCCUUGUACA